CCACUCUGCAGCACUCUCUGACAGCGGAGAAUACUGGUGUUAUUCCUCCAGAGAGGAUCCGCCAUACAGCAAUGGUGUCUCAUUGACUGUUCAAGAUUUUGAUGUGGGCAACACCCUUCGACUUGGAUUAUCAGGUCUGGUGCUAAUUUUGAUUCUGGUCAUUGCAAGAAUGCUUUUCUAGAAAUCACUACAAGAUUCAUCAGAACUGAGGCCACCCUGUAAAGCACAGCCAUCGCCUUUGUCGU